rnacentral:rRNA from 1 species
UACAGAGGGUGCAAACGUUGUUCGGAUUUACUGGGCGUAAAGCGCGUGUAGGCGGCUUGGCAAGUCGGAUGUGAAAGCCCACGGCUCAACCGUGGAAGCGCAUCCGAAACUGCUUCGCUCGAGUCUCGGAGAGGAAGGUGGAAUGCUUGGUGUAGAGGUGAAAUUCGUAGAUAUCAAGCAGAACACCUGCGGCGAAGGCGGCCUUCUGGACGAUGACUGACGCUGAGACGCGAAAGCGUGGGGAGCAAACAGG